GACGAACGCUGGCGGCGUGCUUAACACAUGCAAGUCGAGCGGAAAGGCCCUGCUUGCAGGGUACUCGAGUGGCGAACGGGUGAGUAACACGUGGGUGAUCUGCCCUGCACUUCGGGAUAAGCCUGGGAAACUGGGUCUAAUACCGGAUAGGAGCCAUUUUUAGUGUGAUGGUUGGAAAGUUUUUUCGGUGUAGGAUGAGCUCGCGGCCUAUCAGCUUGUUGGUGGGGUAAUGGCCUACCAAGGCGGCGACGGGUAGCCGGCCUGAGAGGGUGGACGGCCACAUUGGGACUGAGAUACGGCCCAGACUCCUACGGGAGGCAGCAGUGGGGAAUAUUGCACAAUGGGCGCAAGCCUGAUGCAGCGACGCCGCGUGGGGGAUGACGGCCUUCGGGUUGUAAACUCCUUUCGCUAGGGACGAAGCUUUUUGUGACGGUACCUAGAUAAGAAGCACCGGCUAACUACGU
rnacentral:rRNA from 1 species